UCACGAUCUUCUUCCUCCUUCCUCUCUAAACAAGUUCUCACACCCGACCUCUCUCCCCCCCUCCUUCUCGAUUUUUUGCUUCAUCUCUCCCUCUCUUCUUCUCCUUCACGUCGACGCCACCACCAAGCCGACAACCCUCCUCUGACAUUGGACGAUGACCAGUGUGUCACGCCAAUCACCAUCGACGUUUAAAUCUUCCCUACCAUCAAUUGAACUUCGACUGUUCUGUGUCGUUCCGUCCGAGAUCGUUGAGUCGAGCCGGCUUGGAGUCGCACCGUGCUUUUUACUGCCCAUAGAUCGUCGUGCUAGGCCACCCUCUGCCAUCGCUAGCCUCGACGGAAUCGGAAGUUGAGAUUGAAGAUUUGUCGUGUUGAUUAGUUGCUGUCCAGCGGGUUCGAUAAGGAUUUUGUCAAGAUUUAGGUAGCGGCCAAGGACCAAGCAUUGGUUGUGCUUUCCUGUCAUUGAUUGUAGUUUCCUAUUCUUGUUGACUGACGUUGAUCCCACAAUUGUUGAAAGACCGGUUAUGCGUUAUGUCAUUGACGACUUCAUCAACGAUGUAGAUGAACACAUGUCACAUGCAAGUGACGACGACGAAUUAUAGUGACAACCCACGCAUUAUGUCAUACAGACGUAAUAAUUUUCUGGAGAUGGACGCUAUGUUCCUCGAGUUUAAGGACGAUUUAGAUAACCUUGUGGGAGGUCGUCGUCCGUGAGUGACAAUGCAGGUCACCUUCUCAACCACCUGCGACUACAACUCUUAGGAGACGUGCGCAGUCCCGACUCUUAGCAUCAAGCAAGGAUACAUUGCAGACUCUACAAUGGAGGUUGAAUUCGUCGUUGCUUGUGAAGCAGCAAAAGAAGCAGUUUGGCUUAGGAAGUUCCUACAUGAUUUGGAAGUUGUUCCAAACAUGAACUUGCCCGUCACUCUAUAUUGUGAUAACAGUGGGGCAGUAGCCAAUUAUAAAGAACCUCGCAGUCACAAACGAGGGAAACACAUAAAGAGGAAGUAUCACCUGAUACGGGAGAUUGUGCAACGGGGGGAUGUGAUCGUCACCAAGAUCGCUUUGGAACACAACAUUGCUGAUCCAUUUACGAAGACUCUCACGGCUAAAGUGUUUGAGGGUCAUCUAGAAAGUCUAGGUCUACGAGAUAUGUACAUUAGGUAACCUAGGGCAAGUGGGAGAUGUGUAAUACGUAUGAUGAUGUAUUUGUAUAUAUACGUUUUAUGUAAUAUACUUGUACAUUUUACCAUUUCCAAUGUUUGAAGAUUACUUUAUUAUGUACAUCCCAAAAGGACUAGAGUUUUAGUCCAAGUGGGAGUUUGUUGGGUUUUAUGUCCUAAAACUCGUAGAUAGUAAAUAUAAUCAAUUGACUGUUAUUAAUAAA